UCAACCAUCAAGCUAGGCUUGCUGUUGGGCCUGCCCUUUAAGUGGGCUCGCCCCAAAGUCAGUGGCGGGGUGGACGGACCCUAGAUGCAACGAGCUGUUUCUUAACCAGCACGCAUUGGUGAGUUCCGCCGCCCUUUGGCCUCAACGGACAAAAUUUCUCAA
rnacentral:misc_RNA from 1 species